rnacentral:rRNA from 1 species
GAACGCUGGCGGCAUGCCUUACACAUGCAAGUCGAACGGCAGCACGGGAGCAAUCCUGGUGGCGAGUGGCGAACGGGUGAGUAAUAUAUCGGAACGUGCCCAGUCGGUGGGGGAUAACGUAGCGAAAGCUACGCUAAUACCGCAUACGAUCUAUGGAUGAAAGCGGGGGAUCGCAAGACCUCGCGCGAUUGGAGCGGCCGAUAUCAGAUUAGGUAGUUGGUGAGGUAAAGGCUCACCAAGCCGACGAUCUGUAGCUGGUCUGAGAGGACGACCAGCCACACUGGGACUGAGACACGGCCCAGACUCCUACGGGAGGCAGCAGUGGGAAUUUGGACAAUGGGCGCAAGCCUGAUCCAGCAAUGCCGCGUGCAGGAUGAAGGCCUUCGGGUUGUAAACUGCUUUGUACGGAACGAAACGGUGAGCUCUAAUACAGUUUGCUAAUGACGGUACCGUAAGAAUAAGCACCGGCUAACUACGUG